AUUGAACGCUGGCGGCAUGCUUUACACAUGCAAGUCGAACGGCAGCGCGGGCUUCGUCCUGGCGGCGAGUGUCGCACGGGUGAGUAAUGCAUCGGAAUGUGCCCAGUAUUGGGGGAUAGCCCCUCGAAAGCCGGAUUAAUACCGCAUACGACCUGAGGGUGAUACCGGGGGACCGAAAGGCCUCGCGCUAUUGGAGCGGCCGAUGUCGGAUUUGCUAGUUUGUGGGGUAAAUGCUUACCAAGGCGACGAUCCGUAGCUGGUCUGAGAGGACGACCAGCCACACUGGGACUGAGACACGGACAAGACUCCUACGGGAGGCAGCAGUGGGGAAUUUUGGACAAUGGGGGCAACCCUGAUCCAGCCAUGCCGCGUGCGGGAAGAAGGCCUUCGGGUUGUAAACCGCUUUUGUUCGGGAAGAAAUCCUCUGGGCUAAUACCCCGGGGGGAUGACGGUACCGGAAGAAUAAGCACCGGCUAACUACGUG
rnacentral:rRNA from 1 species